rnacentral:rRNA from 1 species
GUCCAUCCUUAUGGGCGACUUGAAUUCGUAUAGUUAUUCGCCUCCUUUUCUUUGGUUGUCCCUAAGGGGAUCAUUGCCGCUCGCUUUUAGAGAUCUCCUAGGGGCCCAU